GACGUAGGGCGCGAGCGUUGUCCGGAUUUAUUGGGCGUAAAGAGCUCGUAGGCGGUUCGGCAAGUCACGUGUGAAAUCUCCACGCUUAACGUGGAGGCGCCACGUGAAACUGCCGUGACUUGAGUCCGGUAGGGGGGUGUGGAAUUCCCGGUGUAGCGGUGAAAUGCGCAGAUAUCGGGAGGAACACCAGUAGCGAAGGCGGCACCCUGGGCCGGUACUGACGCUGAGGAGCGAAAGCGUGGGGAGCGAACGAGG
rnacentral:rRNA from 1 species